rnacentral:rRNA from 1 species
CGUUAAGUUUUUUAGAGUUUGAUCCUGGCUCAGAUUGAACGAUGGCGGCAGGCCUAACACAUGCAAGUCGAGCGGUAGCACAGAGAGCUUGCUCUCGGGUGACGAGCGGCGGACGGGUGAGUAAUGUCUGGGAAACUGCCUGAUGGAGGGGGAUAACUACUGGAAACGGUAGCUAAUACCGGCAUAAUGUCGCAAGACCAAAGUGGGGGACCUUCGGGCCUCAUGCCAUCAGAUGUGCCCAGAUGGGAUUAGCUAGUAGGUGGGGUAACGGCUCACCUAGGCGACGAUCCCUAGCUAGGUCUGAGAGGAUGACCAGCCACACUGGAACUGAGACACGGUCCAGACUCCUACGGGAGGCAGCAGUGGGGAAUAUUGCACAAUGGGCGCAAGCCUGAUGCAGCCAUGCCGCGUGUGUGAAGAAGGCCUUCGGGUUGUAAAGCACUUUCAGCGGGGAGGAAGGCGAUAAGGUUAAUAACCUUGUCGAUUGACGUUACCCGCAGAAGAAGCACCGGCUAACUCCGUGCCAGCAGCCGCGGUAAUACGGAGGGUGCAAGCGUUAAUCGGAAUUACUGGGCGUAAAGCGCACGCAGGCGGUCUGUGCAAGUCGGAUGUGAAAUCCCCGGCGCUCAACCUGGGAACUGCAUUCGAAACUGGCAGUGCUAGAGUCUUGUAGAGGGGGGUAGAAUUCCAGGUGUAGCGGUGAAUAUGCGUAGAGAUCUGGAGGAAUACCGGUGGCGAAGGCGGCCCCCUGGACAAAGACUGACGCUCACGUGCGAAAGCGUGGGGAGCAAACAGGAUUAAACCCUCCGGUAGUACACGCCGUAGACGAUGUCGACUUCGAGGAUGUGCCCCUGAGGCAUGGGAUUCCGGACCUAACGCGUUUAAAUCCAACCGCCAGAGGAGACCCGGCGCAAAGGCGAACACGACAUAACCUUCGGGAGGGCGCUUACCACUUGGAUCCA